CUUGCCUGGAAAAUCCCAUGGAUGGAGGAGCCUGGUAGGCUGCAGUCCAUGGGGUUGCUAAGAGUCAGACACGACUGAGCAACUUCACUUUCACUUUUCACUUUCCUGCAUUGGAGAAGGAAGUGGCAACCCACUCCAGUGUUCUUGCCUGGAGAAUCCCAGGGAUGGCGGAGCCUGGUGGGCUGCCCGUCUAUGGGGUCACACAGAGUUGGACACAACUGAAGCGACUUAGCAGCAGCAGCAAGCUUUCACUUUUGCUUUACAUCUAUCACCACACAAGUACAGGAAGACUGUGAGUUCAUGAGUUACUCAUGAACUCAUGAGUAAAUGAAGAACAAUAGAGAAGAAUAACAUAUCACCCUGUAGAGCAAAUACUUAAAUUUGUUUCUCAGCAAAAUUAUCAGUUCCUACAAAUCUUGAUCUCUCAAGGCCAUUUAGAAAUAUUUUAUGACUAGAGUUCCCACACAUCGGACUUUGCAGUAAAAAGAAAUACUUGUACUUAAUCCUCAUGACAGCUCAAUAUAGAAACCCUGCAGUUAAUUAACUUGUGAGAAGAAGUAUUUUGGUCUUUUUAAUUUAUUUUUAAUUGAAGGAUAAUUUACAAUAUUCUGUUGGUUUCUAUCACAAGUCAACAUGAAUCAGCCAUAGAUACAUGCAUGUCCCCUCCCUCUUGAACCUGCCUCCCACCUCCCACCCUGAGAAGAAAUGUUUAGCACAUACUUUAUUUCCACUACUGUUUCCUGUUCCAGGAAUCUUAAUCUUGCUGGAUUGGUGGUUUGGGGGAACUGAAUUUGCCGGUGUCUCAAGUCUGCUUAAGGUCACUGUCAUCACCACCAGGCUAGGGCAUGAUUGUGAAGUUGAACCCACAGAGCACGGAUGUUAUUGUUUGCACCAGAUGGGAUGUGAAGCUGCCCAUUAAGGUCUAGACUCCAGUUAAGGAAGACCUGAAACUUCUCAGUGAUCUUAACUUUCACAGCUCAUUGAUUUCCAAUCCUGGGCUGAAGAAAUCCAUCUUAAUUCUGUGAUUUUGGAAAGGAGACCCAUGUCUUUUGGAGAGGGAGCUCAAACCUGCACACAAAUCAGAAAAGCAGUGAAAUACUUUGGAAAUGGAAGAGAAAC
ensembl:lncRNA